GUGGCCCGCGACACAGGUCCAUUUGGAAGCCCACCACUCGCGCUUCUCGCCCCUGUGGGAGCCGGGUUUUCAUGGGGAUACCUCUCCGGCCUGCUAACAUCGGGCGAUAUUCCCCAAGUCACCUCGCCACCUCGAGACCUCGACUCGACAUCUUCCUCCGUCCUCUCCUCUCCUCCGACGCCGCCCGUUCGUCCUUGCCUCUUCUCCAACGCUGCCCCUCCGUCCUCGCAUCUCCGUCGCCAUCGCCCUGCACACCAGCUGCACCUCCGUCUCUGCAGGUGUUGGGGCUGCGGACGGACGCAUCUUCCUCCCUCCACCCAGUGCAUCUGCUCGUGCAUCUCUUCAUCCGUCGCUCGUCGAUACGACCGUGCCAGCUCCAUCACUGCUCCGUGACUGGCUGGCCUCAUCCCAAGAUCCAGUACGAGAUCUUAGUAAUUUGAACUUAUCUAGUCAUCUGGUGCCUGAGCUUGGGAAAUUGGAGCAUCUGCAGUACCUAGCUCUGGGUGACGUAUGAUUGGAGAAGAAAAAUGCAGAUGCAGUGCGUCAAAAGCUUAUGAAAAAUAAACUAUAAUUUAUUUUUUAUAGGUCUUGGAUAUCUGGAUGGAGAUGAUAUAUGAUUAGGUGACAAUGGAUUAGUUAGUUUGAAUUUUCUACUUGAAUUAAAUUUUCUGUGUAUUGGACUAUGUCAAAUAAUUUUGAUCUUAUGAUUUUUCAUGCAUUAUGUGCAUGAAAAUAUUGUGGUUGGCAUCGA